rnacentral:rRNA from 1 species
GACGAACCGUGCGAACGUUGUUCGGAAUCACUGGGCUUAAAGGGCGCGUAGGCGGCGUCAUAAGUCUGUGGUGAAAUCCCCCGGCUCAACCGGGGAACUGCCGUGGAUACUGUGACGCUCGAGGGGUGUAGGGGCAUGCGGAACUUCCGGUGGAGCGGUGAAAUGCGUAGAUAUCGGAAGGAACGCCGGUGGCGAAAGCGGCGUGCUGGACACCUUCUGACGCUGAGGCGCGAAAGCCAGGGGAGCAAACGGG